rnacentral:lncRNA from 1 species
AUAUUUUUAGUGUGUCAGUUUGGAGGGCAAAUCCAGUGGUGGUGCCCUGUUAGAUAAUUCCUUUCUUUUGCACUUAUAUGACCUGUCUACUGCCAAGUAGCAGAUAAUGCGACAAUUGUAUCAGUGACAGUUUUUUUGUUGUUGUUUUUUUUUUUUUUUUGGUCAGAUGAGAAGAGCCCAAGGACUAGAAAUCAAGUCAAAAUCAGGGAUUUGAGGAAGAAUUUGGAUCACAGGGUGUGUGGCAACAGAAGAAAGUUGUGAGUUCUAUAGAUACCUCUUCACGUGGCUUGGGUAAGGGAGUCACAUGCCCCUCUUUUUAAGGUAGGAAACACUGACAAAAUGUAGUUUUUGAAAACCCUAAAUACA